rnacentral:rRNA from 1 species
AACUUAAGGAAUUGACGGGGAGCACCACAACGGGUGGAGCUUGCGGUUUAAUUGGAUUCAACGCCGGAAAUCUUACCGGGACCGACAGCAAUAUGAAGGCCAGGCUGAAGACUUUGCCGGAUUAGCUGAGAGGUGGUGCAUGGCCGUCGUCAGUUCGUACUGUGAAGCAUCCUGUUAAGUCAGGCAACGAGCGAGACCCACGCCCACAGUUGCCAGCGUACUCUCUGGAGUGACGGGUACACUGUGGGGACCGCCGCUGCUAAAGCGGAGGAAGGAAUGGGCAACGGUAGGUCAGUAUGCCCCGAAUAUCCCGGGCUACACGCGAGCUACAAUGGUUGGUACAAUGGGUAUCUACCCCGAAAGGGGACGGGAAUCUCCUAAACCCAUCCGUAGUUCGGAUUGUGGGCUGCAACUCGCCCACAUGAAGCUGGAAUCUGUAGUAAUCGUGUCUCAAAAUGGCACGGUGAAUAUGUCCCUGCUCCUU